UCGUUCGACCCGUGGUUCAGUGUACCAGUUGGAGCAGAAUGCAUUCUGGGGGAUCGUUCGACCCGUGGUUCAGUGUACCAGUUGGAGCAGAAUGCAUUCUGGGGGAUCAAUCGACCCGUGGUUCAGCGUACCAGUUGGAGCAGAAUGUAUUCGGGUUAAGAUUCAACUCGAAUUCAGUCGAUUAGACACGAAAGAAAAUGCUUCGUCACGGAUUUUGACCAGGAGUGGAGAAAAAUCCCUUGCUUAAGGUGUGAAUCAUUUCCUACAUUGAAUUGGAAUUAAACUACUGAGACAUGACGAACACUUGAGUACCAUAUCGCCAACCGAUAUUUUCACAUGUCCAUGAAGGAAAAAUGAUUAUGCAAAGUGGUUGCCCAUCCUCAAGUACCGGUGCCAUGAAAUAACCAAAUGCCUGUGGACUUUAGAUCUACCUUCAUAACAACCAUAUUGUCAUGAAAUGUGUAUGAUGUAUGUGUUAAUCUGACAUGUUUAUAUGAUAAACUGAGUAAAUGAAAUCGACGGCCAUGUCGCUCUGACUUGAUGUUCCACUUGAGAAUUGGUAGAUUUAUCCGAGAAUAUGAUACAGUGUUAUAGUGAUACAUGUUAAAACAGAAAUGUUUUUGUGAGGAAAGUAUUCCGAUUCAAAGUCACCACAAACACAAUGCACGCUAACUUUCAUUUUGAAAUGAAAAGUAGUUUUGUUUGAUAACGAUUGAAUUUUCUGGCAGAAUUAAGAGGUGAUUCAUUUUCUAUUCUGUAGAUUAAUUAUUGUGAAUGGGGUUCAUUUCAUUCCAACUCAAAGAACGCCAUCAAUUACAAUUUACAUUUUGCUGUAGAUAGUUAUUUUUACAAAGGUUCAUUGAAUACAGUUGACUUUCAAUGAGAUAAAAAUUCCAAUGAGGCCAUUACAGCAGUAUGCCGUGAUAAAAUUGUUGCAAGCAAUAAAAAGAUUGAAAAUACACUUCAAGGUCUGCAUGCAAACUUGUCUCAGA